rnacentral:rRNA from 1 species
UGCGUAGGCGGCCUGACAAGUCAGAGGCGAAAGGCUACGGCUUAACCGUAGUAAGCCUUUGAAACUGACAGGCUUGAGUGCAGGAGAGGAAAGUGGAAUUCCUAGUGUAGCGGUGAAAUGCGUAGAUAUUAGGAGGAACACCAGUGGCGAAGGCGACUUUCUGGACUGUAACUGACGCUGAGGCACGAAAGCGUGGGGAGCGAACAGGAUUAGAUACCCUGGUAGUCC